rnacentral:rRNA from 1 species
UACCAGCACCCCGAGUGGUCGGGACGAUUAUUGGGCCUAAAGCAUCCGUAGCCGGUCCUACAAGUCUUCCGUUAAAUCCACCUGCUUCAACAGAUGGGCUGCGGAAGAUACUAUAGGGCUAGGAGGCGGGAGAGGCAAGCGGUACUCAGUGGGUAGGGGUAAAAUCCUCUGAUCCAUUGAAGACCACCAGUGGCGAAGGCGGCUUGCCAGAACGCGCUCGACGGUGAGGGAUGAAAGCUGGGGGGAGCAAACCGG